rnacentral:tRNA from 1 species
UCUAAUAUGGCAGAGUAGUGCGAUGGAUUUAAAUCCCAUUUAUAAAGUUUAGCCCUUUUUUUAGAU